AGUUAUAUUUUGUGAUCAUAUUAAAAAAUAUAACUGAAAAUGAACAUCAGUAAUCAAGAAUAACUAGUCCUACUAUAUUAUUGGGAGAUUUGCAAAACUACCCUUUUUUUAAUACCCUUUUGCAACCAUACCCUUUUAUAUUGUUCAUUUUUAAAAAUAUCCCUUCCCUUGAACAGAAUGACCAAAUUACUCUUAUCUAAUAAGAAAAUGAAAUUGGAAACUGAAAGUUUCCCGCCGAAUUUUUGUCGCUAAAAUUUUUUUUUCCCGCCAAAAAAAACAUUUCCGCCAAAAAAUUUUCUCGUAAAUUUUUUUUCCCAGCCAAAAAAAUGCUUUUAAAAAUCCUUGUAAAUUUUUUAAAAGCUUUGAUAGUUGAUAAAAACUCUUGUAAAUCAUUUUAAAACCUCUUAAAAUCUUUAUAAAGUCUUUAAAAACAUAGGUAAAUACUUUAAAACCUCUUUUUAAACCUUUGUAAAUCAUUUUAAAACUUUUUACAAUAGUUUUACAAGAUUUACAAUCGUUUUUUAAGCAUAAGUAAGUGGCAUUGAAUGAUUUACAAGGGAUUUUAAAAGCUUAUAAAAGGGUAAAACAUGAUUUACAAUCGUUUUAAAGCAUAAGUAAGUGGCAUAAAAUGAUUUACAAGGGAUUUAAAAAGGGUUAGCAUGGUUUACAAUCGUUUUUAAGCAUAAGUAAGUGGCAUUGAAUGAUUUACAAGGGAUUUUAAAAGCUUAUAAAAGGGUAAAACAUAAUUUACAAUCGUUUUUAAAACAUAAGUAAGUGGCAUUGAAUGAUUUACAAGGGAUUUUAAAAGCUUAUAAAAGGGUAAAACAUGAUUUACAAUCGUUUUGAAAACAUAAGUAAGUGGCAUAAAAUGAUUUACAAGGAUUUUUAAAAAGGGUUAGCAUGGUUUACAAUGUUUUUUUAAGCAUAAGUAAGUGACAUUGGAAUGAUUUACAAGGGAUUUUAAAAGCUUAUAAAAGGGUAAAACAUGAUUUAUAAUCGUUUUAAAAGCAUAAGUAAGUGGCAUAGAAUUAUUUACAAGGGAUUUUAAAAGUCGUUUUAAAGCAUAAAUAAGUGGCAUUGAAUAAUUUACAAGGGAUUUUAAAAGGGGUUAACAUGAUUUACAAUCGUUUUUAAAUCAUAAGUAAAUAUCAAAGAAUGAUUUACAAGGGAGUUUAAAAAGGGUUUGCAUGGUUUACAAUCGUUUUUAAAGGAUAAGUAAGUGGUAUAGAAUGAUUUACAAGAAUUUUAAAAGCUUAUAAAAUGGUAAAACAUGAUUUACAAGAGUUUUUAAAGAGUUUUAAAAAGAUUUAUAAGGAUUUUAAACCUUUGUAAAUCCUUUUAAAACUAUUAUAAAGUCUUUACAAGCAGUUUUUAACUCUUAGAAAAAGAAUUGUAAGUAAACAACAUUUACAACUCUUUUUCAACCAUUUUAAAACUCUUGCGAACUUUUACAAAAGGUUUUAUAAAGAUUUACAAGAGUUUUUAAAGGGUUUUUUUAUAAAUUCUUUUAAAAUCUUUUAAAAACUCUUGUACAUCUUUUAAAACCAUUUAAAAAAUCCCUUGUAAAUAUUUUAAAAUACUUGUAAACCCUUUAAAAAUCUUUAAAAAACUCUUGUAAAUCUUUUAAAACCCUUUAAAAUCUCUUGUAAAUCUUUUAAAACCUUUUUAAAAUCCCUUGUAAAUCUUUUGAACCCUUUUAAAAUCUCUUGUAAAUCUUUAAAAAAAUUUUAAAACCCUUUUAAAAUCCCUUGUAAAUCUAUUUCCCGCCAAAAAAAAACUUUAACGGAAAAAAUAUUUACGAAAUU
rnacentral:sRNA from 1 species